rnacentral:lncRNA from 1 species
AGUACUGGACCGGUAGAACCCAGCCCGAGGUGGUGAGCCUCCGUGUUCGAGGUGACCGAGGCGGCAGGGACACUCCGAAAGUGACAAAAGCGAUUAGCAAGUUCCUGUGCAGAAUAUUUUGGACUUUGUACAUUUUCAGUAAAUCAGAGAGAACAAACUCCAUAACAAGAAGGGGCUAAAUGAGAUGUGGGGUUCCAAGGGCUGGAAAGACAAGAGUACUGCAGAGAG